rnacentral:rRNA from 1 species
GAUGAACGCUAGCGGCAGGCUUAACACAUGCAAGUCGAGGGGCAACACGGGUAGCAAUACCUGGUGGCGACCGGCGCAAGGGUGCGUAACGCGUGAGCAACAUGCCCUAUACAGGGGGAUAAUCCAGGGAAACUUGGUCUAAUAUCCCAUAGUAUUUAGAGGUGGCAUCACCACUAAAUUAAAGCUUCGGUGGUAUAGGAUUGGCUCGCGUGACAUUAGCUGGAUGGUGGGGUAACGGCUCACCAUGGCGAUGAUGUCUAGGGGUUCUGAGAGGAAGACCCCCCAACUGGGACUGAGACACGGCCCAGACUCCUACGGGAGCAGCAGUGAGGAAUAUUGGACAAUGGAUGGAAAUCUGAUCCAGCCAUGCCGCGUGCAGGAAGACAGCCCUAGUGGGUUGUAAACUGUCUUUUAUAGUGGGAGCAAUAAGGUCUACGUGUAGACUGAUGAGAGUACCAUAUGAAUAAGC